rnacentral:rRNA from 1 species
ACCUAUUCGUAAACCACGUAGAAACAACGUGGUCUAGUCAGCACUCCGAAGUUAAGCCGCGUCGGGUCCCAUUAGUACCUAGAAGGGUGACCGCAUGGGAAUACGGAAUGCUGUUGUCA